rnacentral:rRNA from 1 species
AGAGUUUGAUCAUGGCUCAGGAUGAACGCUAGCUACAGGCUUAACACAUGCAAGUCGAGGGGCAGCAUGAACUUAGCUUGCUAAGUUUGAUGGCGACCGGCGCACGGGUGAGUAACACGUAUCCAACCUGCCGAUGACUCGGGGAUAGCCUUUCGAAAGAAAGAGUUAAUACCCGAUGGCAUAGUUCUUUCGCAUGGUGGAACUAUUAAAGAAUUCGGUCAUCGAUGGGGAUGCGUUCCAUUAGGUUGUUGGCGGGGUAACGGCCCACCAAGCCUUCGAUGGAUAGGGGUUCUGAGAGGAAGGUCCCCCACAUUGGAACUGAGACACGGUCCAAACUCCUACGGGAAGCAGCA